UAUUAGAAUGCAGUCAGUAUUUUUGGCAGACAUUUUAAGGGUGUUUUAAAAUGAAAUAAUUAGAGAUGACAGUCUUAGAAGUAGCUGUUGUUUAUAAAUGUGAUUCAGGGGGCUUUUCUAUCACCACUUUUUAUCUCCCUGACACCUGGUACAUUCAUUACACCCUUCUGGCACUCACAAAGCUGGGCAGGUUCUGAGCUGGCCUGGCCUACUUCUCAACCGACUUCCCAGCCGUGUGUCCUGUUGCCUGCCAUCCUGGUCUCACGCUGACCUCCUUCUUCAUCUGUGUCAUCAUGGGGACUCCUCAGCUCACCUGAGACUCUCUUUCUCUCUCAAGGCAUGGAAGUCCCAUAUUUUUCCUGCCCAGCUAAAAGGCUAAUCAGCUCUUUAUUGACCAACCAGGAGAUGAUGGAGAAGAGUGGUUCACAAAGUACUGAGCCAGGAAAGGCUCCUAUUUUCUCUUGUCUCCACUCUGCUCAGCCUGAGUUUUACAUACUACUGUCGGAAGCUCAGCGUUGCUUUGCAGCCUUUUCCUUUCACCUUUCUCUUACGGAACUAAACUUACCUAUUAAUACUUAACAGUAAUAAAAUUGGAAGUGAGGCAAGUAUAUGUCACUUUUAAGCUGAUUAUUACUUCAGUCAUUCUUAGCUAGUUAAAUAUCUUACUUUUCUACAUCCUUGUUUCCCAUUUUUUAUUUCCUGCUUGUCUCAUUAGCUUGUGAUUAAUGUAUGGUUUUUAGUCUUUUCUUUUCUAGAUAAUCAAAAUAGAACAUAAAAAAGGACUUCUGAAUUUUUUUCAUUCACUUUCUGUUUGUGCUUGUCACGGGCACAAAUACUUCCCUAACUACCUAUGUAUAUGUCGAAUAACAUAACUAAAAAUUUUAACCAUGUAAUUAUUCUUUUAGUCCAUAAGAAUAUGGGAUUACUCCUUUUUCCUACUUGUAUGUUAGACACCAUUGUUAGUGGUUCAGAAGCUAAAAGAGACUGUUCACAAUUCUCGUCCAGUAUAGUCUUCAGCAUUUACCUGCAGUGCUUUAAUUUUUUAAAAAAAGAGUUAGUAUAUAAAGUAAUGGGUUUUGUUAUGGCAAUUUUAUACUUAUAUGCCAAUAUACUGCAUUUUAAUUUAGCUCUUUUCUCCACUGCUCUUCCUUGUGCUCUCUGUCCCUCCACUCUCACUGGUUCCCUUCUUUCCAGGCCAGUGGUCCGCUCUUCCGCUUCAGGGAACAGUAUUUCAUUGGCCUCUCUUUCCCCUCCCUUAAGAUCUUUUCCUCUCCUUUUAUGAUUUCCUUUCUAGUUUCACACCUCUAUUUCUGUGUCUCUCUGGCUAUCUCUCUGUCUGUGUCUGUCUGUCUGUCUCUCAAAAUAUUCAAAUCUAUUUUCUUGAUCUGAGAGAAAAUAUGCUAUAUGUCUUUUGAGUCUGGCCUAUACUGUGUAACAUAAUGGAAGUCAUUCCUUUUAAAAUUAGAGCCUUUAUAAUCUGUUAUUUGCCUAACUUUCUGGCCCCUUCACUUGUACUUCCCAUUGCUAGUGCCAGCCAGCUCAUAUAAUUGUAGUUCCUUAAACAUACUCAGUUUUCUCUUCUGUGCCUUUGGAGUGCCCUUUACUUGGACUGUUAUUCUGCUGUUUCUGGUUCCCUUUCUUGUCAUCUGACAGCUGUUUCAAGCCUGUUUGGUGGUUAUUGACUGGAGUCAUUUCGUGAUGACUCCUCACUUUCUGUGCUCCCAUAGUGUCUCCAUUGUUGCCUUUAAAAUUAUACUGUAUUGUUUGUCACCUUGUGUGACUAUAAGCUCUAUGGGAACACAAAUGGAGUCUUUCAUUUCUCCCUGCAUUGGACAGAACACUGUGUUCAAAUGGAAGCAGGAAAAGAAACUGAACUUGAGUGUCUUUCAUGUGCCAGAAAAGUUAAGCUUAGGUAUCUAGAUACAAUAAAUUACGUUAAGUUGUCCCAAUAACUUUCUAAAACAUAUGAUUGUACCAUAUAUUAUUUUGCAUUAGCUGCAUCUUAUAGUUAGAAAUCUGAAGUUAAGUAGUUUGUCUAGUAGUUAAGUGUUAGAACUGGGGCAUAAGAAAAGACACAUUUUGACUCUAUAAUUUCUGGUAUUUCAUUUCUGUCAUACUGCUUUCUUAACUAUAUAGAUGUAUUAAUGGAGAUGAUGAGGUAUAGUGGUUUAAAGACCAUCUAUAUAGUCAUCAUGCAAAUGUGAGUUUACAUUUGAACUUUACAUUUAGCAAUUUUCAGAAUCUUAAUCUACGUAAACCAAAUUUUCUCUUUAAUUAUGAUUGAUAGCAUUAUUUACUUCAUAGGAUUGCCCUUAGAAUUAAAUAAAGGAAUGCAUGAGGACAGUUUUAUGCUGUGUUGGGUACAUAACACAUAUGAGUGAAUUGUAUCAGGUAAGGAUAUUUAUAAACAGCUUAUUGACUAGCACUAACUUUAGCAAAAUAAUAAAUAGUAAUAAUAAAAAGUUUUGAGGUAGUCUUCAGUGGGUAACCUCUUUCACAUUAUUGUUGGGUAUCUGUGAAGUUGCAAGUGUUAGCCUGCAGCUGGAGUAAAUGAGAAAGAAGGAAGAGUAGGUAUCAGCCAUGUCUGUAUAUCUUACUAGAAGGGAAAAAAAGCCUUUUAAAGUUCACAUUAUAUCUCAGUUCUGAAGUUGGUUUUGUGGAAGACUGUAGUAAUUUAAUUGUUCUCCUAAUUAUCUAAACUUUAAUGAAAAAGAUCAAGAAAGUGGAACAUAUGUUUGAGAUUAGAUCAUCUUUCUUCUCGAGGGAGAGCUCAUGGCUCCCUCACCUAAAGUUAAGGAAAGUAUCUUCCUCAGUGAUUGAUGGUGGGGUUUUGUAAUGAAACAGCCCAAAAAACUGUUAUACAGUAUGUUUAUUCAUAAUUUGAAGCAAUAAAAGAGCAUUAUGCAUUGUUUCAAUUCAUAUCAAGGAAAAUCUAAGAGUAAAUUAACUGUGUUCCUAUAUAAUAUUUAGGUAUUAACAUAUUUUUACCACCCAAGUGUGAGGAGCAGAGUUAGAUCCUCAGAACUUAUGGAAAGCGGGGAUAUACUGGUAGCAUAAGUCUGUGUCUCAGGGUACCUAUGCCAAGAGGGGAAUGAGAAACAUGAGGAUCACUGGAAGCUCAGGUUAGCCUACCUGGUGUAUGCAUCUGUGAUCAACAAGAGAUCCUACCUUCAGACAGGCUGGAAGUCAAGAAUUGACACCCGAGGUUGUCUUUUGAUCUCCACAUGAAAUGCUUAAGUGCCUGUGCACCUGUUACCUCCAAACCCCUUCUCACAUU
ensembl:sense_intronic Gm43259 predicted gene 43259